rnacentral:rRNA from 1 species
UGGGGAAUUUUGGACAAUGGGGGAAACCCUGAUCCAGCCAUCCCGCGUGUGCGAUGAAGGCCUCCGGGUUGUAAAGCACGUUUGGCAGGAAAGAAACGUCAUGGGUUAAUACCCCGUGAAACUGACGGUACCUGCAGAAUAAGCACCGGCUAACUACGUGCCAGCAGCCGCGGUAAUACGUAGGGUGCAAGCGUUAAUCGGAAUUACUGGGCGUAAAGCGUGCGCAGGCGGUUCGGAAAGAAAGAUGUGAAAUCCCAGAGCUCAACUUUGGAACUGCAUUUGUAACUACCGGGCUAGAGUGUGUCAGAGGGAGGUGGAAUUCCGCGUGUAGCAGUGAAAUGCGUAGAUAUGCGGAGGAACACCGAUGGCGAAGGCAGCCUCCUGGGAUAACACUGACGCUCAUGCACGAAAGCGUGGGGAGCAAACAGG